AUUUUUUAACCUUGAAAUUGGAACAUGCUGCUCUAUAAAUUGAAGUUCAACAUGUCCAACUUGUAAUCAUCCAAUAAACAUGGCACAUUACAGGUUAAUCACUUUCAUGGUUAUUCUACUUGUGUGUGCGCCUUAUCUAUCUGGUGCAGUAGGAUCUUCAGGGAACGAAUUUAAUGGAGUGAUGAUAUCAGUCGGAAGAAAAGUGGUUCAAGUUUGCGAUCCAGCGUGUUUACCGGUGCUCUGCAUUUGUGCCAAUAAACUCGGCCCAUAAAAUCUGUUCAUUGGGAUUUCCAUCUGAAUUAAACACAACGUAACUGAUGAUGACGUUGGCUUCGUUAAUUAAUUUCCUACUACAGUAUGUAUUUCCUAAAUAAAGAAGGGUCUAUGUAGACUAUAAUGUAUUUGUAUGAAUAUAAAAGUUGUAAGUUAUGUGACUACUACUUGCAAAAUAAUUAAGUUUAUCUUGUUCAUUAUUAUUA